UUCGUUGUCUUCGAAACCUGCA
rnacentral:miRNA from 1 species